UACGAAGGGGGCUAGCGUUGUUCGGAAUUACUGGGCGUAAAGCGUGCGCAGGCGGCCUGCCAAGUCAGGGGUGAAAGCCCAGAGCUCAACUCUGGAAUUGCCUUUGAGACUGUGAGGCUUGAGUACGGGAGAGGUGAGUGGAAUUCCCAGUGUAGAGGUGAAAUUCGUAGAUAUUGGGAAGAACACCGGUGGCGAAGGCGGCUCACUGGCCCGAAACUGACGCUCAUGCACGACAGCGUGGGGAUCAAACAGG
rnacentral:rRNA from 1 species